rnacentral:misc_RNA from 1 species
GGUUUUGAAGGGUACUCCUCACUCGAUGUACCUGUUCUUUCUUGUGUCAAUCUCUCUGGAAUAUGGUUUAUUCGUAUUUAGAUAUCCAUCUCAUAGCUACAGCAUUAACACUGGCUUGCAUCAAUAUCUCAUAAUGUUUGUUGUUCUAGACCUUUAAAUUGACUCAGCAGAUUGAGGUUCUGUCAUAAGACAAGCAUGCUUUUAUUGUAAGUAGUGAAUGUCCCUAGCUCUUAAAUGUUAAGCCUUGUGGUCCUAUAGCAGAAGCAGUUAUGGUAACUAGAGUCCAAAGCAUUCUCAGUCAUUCUCGACAUUCUUCGUGUCUUUGUGAUAUCUUUUUAUGUAAAAGACAUCUAUCUGACUGCAAUCAGAUAUUUUGUUACAAUCUCUCUCUCUCUCUCUC